GUGAUUUUGGAGGGCAAGUCUGGUGCCAGCAGCCGCGGUAAUUCCAGCUCCAAUAGCGUAUAUUAAAGUUGUUGCAGUUAAAAAGCUCGUAGUUGAAUUUCGGGGUUAGUAGGUUGGUCAUGCCUCAGGUAUGUACUGAUUUUACUGAUUCCUCCUUCCUGAUGAACCGUAAUGCCAUUAAUUUGGUGUUGCGGGGAAACUGGACUGUUACUUUGAAAAAAUUAGAGUGUUUAAAGCAGGCUAACGCUUGAAUACAUUAGCAUGGAAUAAUGAAAUAGGACGUUCGAUCCUAUUUUGUUGGUUUCUAGGAUUGACGUAAUGAUUAAUAGGGAUAGUUGGGGGCAUUAGUAUUCAAUUGUCAGAGGUGAAAUUCUUGGAUUUAUUGAAGACUAACUACUGCGAAAGCAUUUGCCAAGGAUGUUUUCAUUAAUCAAGAACGAAAGUUAGGGGAUCGAAGACGAUCAGAUACCGUCGUAGUCUUAACCAUAAACUAUGCCGACUAGGGAUCGGAUGAUGUUAAUUUUUUAAUGACUCAUUCGGCGCCUUACGGGAAACAAUCGAAUUCCCG
rnacentral:rRNA from 1 species